GCGCGAAAACUUUACAAUGCUGGCAACAGCGAUAAGGAAACCUCGAGUGCCAGGUUACAAAUCUGGCUGUCGAGACGCCUAAAAAGCAUUUCAUAGCAAGGGCCGGGCAGGACCGGUGCCAGCCGCCGCGGUAACACCGGCGGCUCGAGUGGUAACCGUUAUUAUUGGGUCUAAAGGGUCUGUAGCCGGCCGGAUAAGUCUCUUGAGAAAUCUGGCAGCUUAACUGUCAGGCUUUCAGGAGAUACUGUCUGGCUCGAGGCCGGGAGAGGUGAGAGGUACUUCAGGGGUAGGGGUGAAAUCUUGUAAUCCUUGAAGGACCACCAGUGGCGAAGGCGUCUCACCAGAACGGACCUGACGGCAAGGGACGAAAGCUAGGGGCACGAACCG
rnacentral:rRNA from 1 species